UACGGAGGGUGCAAGCGUUACUCGGAAUCACUGGGCGUAAAGGGUGCGUAGGCUGACUUUUAAGUCAGGCGUGAAAUCCAAUGGCUUAACCAUUGAACUGCGCUUGAAACUGGGAGUCUAGAGUUCAGAAGGGGCAGAUGGAAUUAGUGGUGUAGGGGUAAAAUCCGUAGAUAUCACUAGGAAUAUCAAAAGCGAAGGCGAUCUGCUGGGAUGAUACUGACGCUGAGGUACGAAAGCGUGGGGAGCAAACAGG
rnacentral:rRNA from 1 species